GGAAGUGGUUGUCAAUCUGGUGUUGGCCCCGGACUUCAAAUCCGGUGUAGCGGGUUAAUAGCCCGCUAGGUGGGUUCGAUUCCCAUGCACUUCCGCCA
rnacentral:tRNA from 1 species